UUUGACCUCAGCUCAGUCGUGAUUACCCGCUGAAUUUAAGCAUAUAAUUA
rnacentral:rRNA from 5 species